CCCUGGUUAGGUUCAUGCACUGAGGUUGGUGUUGCCAGUCUGAUCUUCAUCACCUGCCCCUCGAAAGGGAGGGGGCCUUCUCAGUCGCCAUCUUGAGCUCGGGCUUCUAGCUCAAGGCCGACCCCUGCUUCGGCCAAGUAGGGGUUGUGCAUCCCAUCAAUUCAACCGGCCUUCGACUCAGCAUUGGAGAGUUGGAGGGUCACACAUGAUUUGGUUCAUAGGCUUCUUCUUCCUACCCACACUAAAAAGAUAAAGGAGGCAAGCUCUAGUGCAU
rnacentral:lncRNA from 1 species